rnacentral:misc_RNA from 1 species
GGAGAGAAUCGAAUUAAAAGCAUAUACUUUAAAAAGUUAUUUUACAUAAAUAAUAAAUAAUAGAAAAUUAGAAACAACGUCUCAUUUGACUGCUACUGAUAUAAUUGCAUAAAAAAAAAAAUAAAAAGCUAAUCUUGAUGAUCAACAAGAAGAAAUUAGGGAUUGAUAAAUCUGUCUAAGUUGUUUGCCAACAUCAGUGAUUUCUGGCCUAUUUUCACUUCUUUUGCAAAUGCAUUGAAAGACAAGCAUUGCAUAAGCUUUGAGUUGCUGCUCUUUCCCAGACCAUGUCCCCUCUUCAAUAAUUAUAGGUUCCAUAAGCUUGUCUAACCUUUCAUUUUCUUCCAUUAAUUUCUCGAAAAACUCCACAACAGGCAAAUCUUGGUAAUUAUCCGGUAGAUCGUACGGAGAUUUUGCAGUCAAAAGCACUAGCAGAAGUACACCAAAACUAUAAACAUCAGCCUUCUCAUUAAACUUACCUUCGAAAAGACAUUCAGGAUCUAGAUAUCCAGGUGUCACCUUCAAAGUUUCUAUCACUAUGUGGGUUUUACCUUCUGGAAUUGAUAUGGAUAACGAAAAAUCACUCAAUUUGGCCCUGCAGUCUUCAUCCAGCAGGAUAUUUCCGCAAUUGAUAUCUCUAUGAACAAUAGGCCUUGGGAAUGCAGUGUGAAGAUAAGCAAUCACAUUAGCCACAUCAACUGCAAUCUUCAACCUAUUCUUCCAUGAUAAAGGUCGCAAAUCGGCUCUUUGUUUAUCUUUUAAAUUGUAAUGAUCAAGAAUUCCCAUCUCCGCAUGUUCAAAAACUAGAAUAGGAAUUGGGGACUCCAAGCAGCAACCUAAGAGUUUGAGAACAUUUUCAUGCGCACUCAUUUGUGAUGCAAACACUAUCUCAUUGAUAGAUCUCUCCAAUAAAUUUUCAUUAUUUGCAUACUUUUUCACGAUUACCGGGCGGUCUUGCAGAAAACCCUUAUACAUUUUGUAUGUUUGAUACAUUGCAAACCUUUGAUUUGGAUCAUAGUUAUUUGUUGCAUUGUUGAGCUCUUGGAUAGAAAAUGAACGGAUAGGAUUGCCUCUGCCAUUAUUGAGGGCUAUCGACUUUUCUAACAACAUUCCUCCAUUUCUCAUUAAUGCCAUCUCUGUCUCUGUCUCUCUCUCAAUCUCAUCCUUCUUGCCUCUAAAGCAUCUCAUCAUCUUGCCUUGCCUGUCCAUAUAAACUAAACAUGCCGACUUCUAACAUGUAUUAAAGUGGGAUCAUACAUCAGCUAUAUAUAACAUUUCCUUUUUCAAUCAAAUCAUCAGUUAAAGAUUUAAGUCUGUAACUGCUUUUAAUUUGGUCCUCAUUAUCAAGAAACUAUAUUUAAAAUUUAAAAUUUGGGAUUUGAGAGCAUAAACAUCAACAAAUGAACUAUAUAUUUUGACCCCAGAUCAAAACGGAAAAUUGUGAUUGUAACACUAAUUAAAGUUGAUAAGUUGAUUUGAUAAAAUUAAACAGAAAGCUGAUGUCCAUGAAUAAAAAAAUUCAAUUGAACAAAUUAAAGAAUGCAAAAACCAGAAUCAGUUGAGGGUGACAAGAAAGAAAUACCUGCAGCUUGCACCUAAUUAAUUUCUCCCAAAUCUUUUCUAAUCCUUGAGAGAGACAGAGAGCAGCAGAAUGUUGUUGCCCAGCUAAGAGAUUCAAACGGAGAAUUAACAAGAUUAUUUUUUCCCCUUCCUCUCUCUUGUCUAUGUGAAGAUGAAAUAAUAAUUUUGAUUGCUUAUUCAUAUACUUAACAAGUCAAUGAUGAUCG